rnacentral:lncRNA from 1 species
AGACACGUAGUUUACACAACCGUUAAAGGCAUGAUUACAAAGUGACCAUACACUUUAUUUAGAAAAAGAAAAAACGGUUCAUUUAAGCCUCGACGAUCUCCUCGAUAAAAGGUUGUUGUUGCCUACCAGCGGAUCGAGUCAAGGUGGUCUCAAGGGUGUUAAACUUGAUCCUCCUAGCUUCCUCGGGGGAGACCUGGAAACCAUUUGAGAUGACCGCUAAUGGCAAUCCCCUCAAGAGCGAGGUUCGUCCAGCCAAAGUGCUGAUCAUAGCGUUUUCGUUAGUCUUGAAAGAGAUCCACUCGAAGUUGUUUCCGUGGGACUGGACAACGUAUGCGAACCCUUGUGGGAUGACCACGAGCUGUCCCUUCUGCACCUGCUGGUCCAACACAUUCUGUCCGUUGUCGUUCACAACUUGGAUCCUUCCUUGUCCUCCGGUGCAGUACAAGAUCUCGUUAGCGUUCAUGUUGUAUUUUGGAAGUACCAUAGCAUUCUGCAACAUUUCAUACAUGAUCAGUUGUUGUCCGUCACAUGUAGCCUCCGAUUUUAAUAUGUUUUGUUUUGUUUUUUUUGAAAAAGAUUUUUAAUAUGUUUUGUUAGGGGAAAUAAUUAAUAUCAACCAUGUAAAUAUAGUGGAUUAUAUAAGUUUAGUGACUUAAUAUCCAUAUAUCUACAACUAAAUAUCUACUAAAUUUAAUUAUAAUUUGUAUACUAUCCCUAAUUUAUCUUUUCACGGUUGAUUUCUCUAUAUUUGUAUAAAGUAAAAGAAACAUAUACUUACACCCUGGAUACUGCCACGGGUGGCGCUGAGCCUGAUGAACUGCAAGAUGGGCAAGGUGUAGCUGUUAACGGUGGUCAUACGACCUAGGUUGGGCUUGUAUACGUCAGCACGAGCAGGGUCGUCAAUGUUUUCGUGGGACCUCAUGCUGCAGAUAGUCUCCUCAAGGCCGUUGUCUUGUGGGCCACGUGGGCGUCUCCUCUCUUCGCUCUCGUAGGGUUGUCUCAAAGGUGGUCGCACGACCUGGAAAGGUCCCUUAACACGAACGAUGUUUCCUCGGUUGUCUUGUUGGUUCUGAAGCUCCUGAGCCAACUGAACGUCAAUUUUCAAUGCCUGAGCAAUGACCUGAGCGUCGAAGCCGCUCCACAUGUUCUUCUGUUCUUGUUGUUGCUGUGGACCGCCAAAGCCACCCUGUUGGUUGUUUCCGGCCAAAUGGAACACCUAUAACACCGAAUCAACAAAUGCAAAACAUUUAUAUAUUAUUUAAACUGAUACGGUAGAUAUUCUAAUAAUGAGUGAGCAUGUUGAGUAUAUAUGAUUACUCUAGGGUUACGGUCGAGUUGGUUUUGGUAGUUGGCGAUGUCGAGAAGAGCGAUGAUGACAAGUGGCUGUUCUCCGGUGUUGUAGAUCCAAUGGGCAGAGCCUGGAGUGAUGGCACAGAUGUCUCCCUGGCGAACAUGUUCCACCUUCUGGUGCAUGUCACGGAACCCUUGUUGUUGCUGUUGUCCCUGUUGUCCCUGUUGUCCCUGGCCUCCCCAUGGUUGUCGUCCCUGUUGUCCCUGUCUUUGUUCUUGCUGUUGUUCUUGCAUGGGCUGCGAGUCCAUGAAGGUCUCAGCACAUCCAGGGACCACUCUUCCGCUAAUACCCUUUCCUGUAAAUUAAUUUUAUAUACAGAAUAGAGUUAUCGUACGGUGAAUCUAUUGUAUUCUUCAUUAAUUAAAACGUGAUAUAUACGUAUUUGAUUGAAAGGGCUAUCAUGUUUGUGUAAAUUGAUAUAGACCUUGAACAACGUAUGAGAUCUUCGGGGAAGUGAAGAAGGUGGGCAAGUAGAGACCGCCUUGUUCGAUCACAUAACGAGCGACGGAGACACCAGCACAUCGGAGUUGAGGGUGGUUGUGAUCCCAGUACUCGAUCUGACCGGCCUCACUCUUGAUAGUUUCGGUGGCUUGGAGAACGUCCAGGUUAUCAAGGUUACACUCGUUCUGCAGCUGAGGAGGAACCCCAAGAGACUGCCUUGCAAGGCAGCCGUUAAGGACGAGGAGAACCCCGAAGGUCGCAACGAGGAGAUUGCCGAGCUUAACCAUUUUCUUUUUGUUUGUUGUGAGAGAUGGAUGAAGAAGAACGAGGCUUAGCAGUAGUUUAUAUACUGUCGAGUGAGCUCAAUGUUUAUGCCACCUAAGAUUGGGUUUGCAUGGGGUCAUGAGUCUAUGGUUUUAACACGUCAGUCUGUGAGCUCGAGCAAGUGUCUCUUGAUGUUCAUGCGCGUAGCUCACUCUCCGCGUAUGCCAAAACACGACAAAUUCAAAUGUAUCUAUCUCAAUUUUUAGCUUCACGUUAUGUUAUUAUCCAUAUAGAAAAACUCUACUAGAUUUAUCAUUUAAUAACGUCUCGGGAUCAUAGAAUCUCUUAAACAUGAUAUAUAAUUGAACUUAAACACAGCAGGAGAAAAUCAAAGUUUAACAAUUAACACAUCAUUAACAUCACCAGUGAUAUAUAUUGAAUAUUUUGGCGAUGUGAUCGAAGAGAGCGUAUAAACAAAAUAAAAUUUUAAAAUAGAGAGUUAGGAAGGAAACAAGGUGCCACAUGAGAGAGACGCGGCGACACUAGGCGUGUUUGAUCCGUUGUACUUGUAUCUGCUGCGACUUGACUCGACAACUGUUCGGUUGCAUGUUUAGCCGCGGUGACAAGUGUCUGACAUUUAUACUAAAUAGGCUUAUCAAAACCAAAACCAAGCCCAAUAAAGUAUUCUUUAUUCACCAUUAAGCCCAGCUAACGUAUCUAAUUGCCCAUAGCGUGAGCCCAAAGAAAAAAAAAAAAAAAAAUGCGACACCGUCCCGUUUCUCCAAUAGAAGUCAGAGAGCUUAAACCCUAAACCCCUUUCUCACGAUCUUCCCCUUUCUCCAGUAGCCAAGGUUUCAGGUACGCUUCUCGCCAUUUCGCUUUUGUAUUUUGUUUAACGGGUGUGUAUCAAUUGAUUCCUUUCGAAAUUUUAGUGAACGAGUGAAUUUUGGAGGUGGCUGAGAGAGUUUUCUGCUCGAAGUUAAUUACUUGCUGUUUAUACCAAAGAUGCGAGUGUUGCUGUUUGAUUGAUUAGAAGUGUUUUGAGCAUGUGGGUUCGUUAAAUUUUAUAGCUUUUACGAUUUCGUGUGCUGAAAUUUGACUUCAUUUUGAUUCUGUUACUUGACUCUUUUGGUAGCUAUAAGUUAAAGUUGCAUAAGUGAGUAGAUCUGAGUCUGAUUCUUGGGUGCAUGUUUGUGUAUUCUGUUUCUCUGCACUUGGAUAUUGAUUUUAAUUUUUUGAAAUAUUGGGAGUGUUCUAGAAAGAAGGAUGAAUAUCAACGUCAAAGUUCCGAAGGUACCAGGUGGUGGUGCCAUUUCAGCGCUGCUUAAGGUUGGGAUUAUCGGUGGGCUUGGUCUCUAUGGUGCCACACACAGUCUCUACAAUGUUGACGGAGGACAUCGUGCCAUUAUGUUCAAUCGUUUUAUCGGUAUCAAAGAUAAGGUGAGUCACUGUUUCUUCAAAUUGGGGUUUUUGGUUUUGUAGUGAAUGUAUUUUCCCAAAGAGUUCUUUUGCGGUUUGUGACAUUUGAAUGGAAAUUGUCUAGGAUUAUUUGUUAUUUAAAUCUGAUUCUCUUUUGUGUAAACACUGAGGCUGAUUUGUUGUCUAUGUUUGGUAUCAGUCAUGAUAUCAUGUUGUUCUGCUGUAACCAUUGAGCAUAUUAAGAGUCUUGUUAAUUCACAAGUAGGUGAUAACCUUAUAUUUCGCAGGUUUACCCUGAGGGCACACACCUUAUGAUUCCUUGGUUCGAAAGGCCGGUCAUCUAUGACGUUCGCGCUCGACCUUACCUUGUUGAGAGUACAUCCGGAAGCCGCGAUCUCCAGAUGGUACUCUGCUUCAACUCCUCACAUUUUUAUUCACUUUUUUUUUGAGGAUUUAGGGAAUGUGAAGUCUUUCGCUUCAACCGUCACAUGGUUUGCUUAUAUGCCACUGUGAUGUAAUAAUGUCAACGCUCAACUUCAUAAGCUUUAAGUUUGUGGGUUUUGAAACUUUCAGGUGAAAAUUGGGCUUAGGGUUCUCACGCGUCCCAUGGCAGACCAGUUACCUGAAAUCUACAGAUCCCUUGGUGAGAACUACAGCGAGAGAGUUCUGCCUUCCAUAAUCCACGAGACUUUGAAAGCUGUGGUUGCUCAGUACAAUGCAAGCCAGCUUAUUACUCAGAGAGAGGUAUACAAGUGACUGUAAAUAUAUGAUAAUCUUUCCCUCUUUCUUAGUGAAGUUAACAAAGAUAGUUUUUGGGCUACUCUUAGGCGGUCAGUAGGGAGAUCAGGAAGAUUCUGACUGCACGAGCUGCAAACUUCAACGUCGCGCUUGAUGAUGUGUCCAUCACGACCCUGACAUUCGGGAAGGAGUUCACCGCUGCCAUUGAAGCAAAGCAGGUGGCGGCUCAAGAGGCUGAGCGAGCCAAGUUCAUCGUUGAGAAGGCUGAACAAGACAAGAGAAGUGCAGUUAUCCGUGCACAGGUAAAGCUGAGCUUCUCUACAAUUCCACUUAUCUAAAAUCUGAGACCGAAAUUGUUGUGUGACAACCUUGUCAUGGCUUGUGUAGGGAGAAGCCAAGAGUGCUCAGCUCAUUGGUCAAGCAAUUGCAAACAACCAAGCGUUUAUCACACUCAGGAAGAUCGAGGCUGCAAGAGAGAUUGCGCAGACCAUAGCAAACUCGGCGAACAAGGUGUACUUGAGCUCAGACGAUCUGUUGCUUAACCUACAAGAGAUGAAUUUGGAUGUAGAUGCAAAGAAGUAGAGAGGCUUCUUAAGUAAAAUCUCAUGUGCUUCAUGUCGUCUUUUCAAUUCCUCAGAUCCUUUGGAAGAAGAGUUCGAUUUGUAACCACUAAAAAACUUUUAAAAGUUGUUCUUGGAAUCACCUACCUCAAGGUGAAAAUGGGUCACCAUUAAAGAGAAAAGACUGAAUGAGUUAAUUGUAAUGAACUUGUCGUUUGGGGGAAAAAAAAAAGAGGUUUGCAUUUGGUUAAAUGAAAAAAGUGAUUUAUUUUUCCUUUCGAAAUAACGAGUGUCAAUUGUCAAAUGGCUAAUCUACUGCUUAAGACAUCCGAAGUCUGUAGGCGCUAUUUAGUUCUCUGCCGACAAGAUAUGAAAAUGAAUAAAUGUACCAAAAGACAAGGGAGAUCUUUGUACAUUUUUUCACGAUCAGUCCAAGGAAUUUAAAUUGUACAAAGCAAAUAAAAAAGGGGGAGAAAAAAAAUUAUGACAAAAAGAAAAACAAGUUACGUAUUUAAGUUUGCACAGUAACUUUUAAGUUAUUUUCAAUGUAUGUUUAUGUAGUAAUAUGAAGUAUAAUGCUUAUAUACCCUUUCUCUUAUUUUACGACCGUUGAUAUAAAAUUUGAUUUUCUUUUCAAGGGAUAAAAGGUUGAGAGUCAUGAGCCAAAUGGUUCUGUAUCCCGGUCUGAUUAAACGAGAUAAGAGCCGGAAUAUUGUGAUAAUACUCACCGGCUCCGGCCGUUCCCCCUCCACCGCCGUUGCUCUUGACGUUACUGUUGUUAUGAUGAAGAUGGUAAUGAAGGUGUCGGCCACUACUUCCACCGAGGCCUUGGAGGUAAGGUCGGUCUUUAGCCGUGGCUGCUGCAGCGACUGAGCCACCACAUUGGCGUGGUUGAGUCUGGUAGAAGACUUUGGAGACGACGAGCUCUCCUUCUUUCUCUUCCUCGUUGGUACCAAGAUGAUAUUGAUGCAUUACCCAAUUAGUCUUCUCGGGCUUUUUUUGUUUGCCGUAGUUUGUGUAGAGCACUAGGAUUUUCUUGUAGCCUCUCACUCUUCCACCGGCUAGAACUGGCCGUGUUUUGCCGGUUUUGUGCCACCGUGUCUCGCCACCAACUUCGGAAUCAGUGUGGACUUUACGUCGUUUUCUUGUUCCCGUCGUGUAUGCCUUCGACGGCCGGUGGAAAAAAUGACGGACAGUCCCGUCCUUGUUCACUCCUAUAUAUAUAUAUUCAACGACUAAUUAGCAUUCAUCAAACAUUUUCUUCUAUUUAACCUUUUUAUCAAAUAUCAUUCAAUUAUUAAUUUUCAACAUAUUUUUGGAGUUUUCACUAAUCAUAUACUAGCUAGUGGAAACAAAUAACAAAAUUUGAUCAUCAACCCUAAUUAUAAUUAAUGCUAUUAUUUGUAUGUAACAUAUUUUUCAGAUGGAUGGCACUAAAUCUAUAGAAAUCAAACAUUAAAUUAUUAAUGUAUAGAAAAAUAGUAUACACUAUACAAGAACAAUAGAUAUGUAAUCAAUCUUUUAAAGUAUCAUAAAAGUUAUAUAUGUUCUUUUUCCAUGUCAGAUUAUUUAGAUCAUAUGAAAAUGAAAAAUAUAAAUAUAUACUAGAUUCGGACCCGCGCUACAGCGCGGGGGAAAAUUGUCUGGUUUUGUUUUUUGUUUUUUUCUUUCAAAUGUCGAUUGUAAAAUUUGAUGUUUUAUUUUAAGUAUGUAAUUGUGUUGGGUUGGAAAAUUUAACGUUUAAAAUAGAAUAUGAUAGCGUGGUUCCCGUAUGAGCUUAAUUUUCCGAUGUUUUGAAAAUGGCAUUUGGGGAUAAAAGAUUGUUGGUGUUAUACAAUUGAAACAUUUAUUAAGUUAAUGUGGGUUUAAUAAAGUUUAUAUACUCAAGUUAGUAACUAAUUGUAUGUAAUAUUUAUAACAUUAUUAAGCUAAACUGUUAUUUUGCUAAGUAAUAUUGAUGAAGUAUGUGUUUAUAUUUCUAAAUUGAACCUUUAGUAGGUUUGUAUCAUCAUGUUGACAACAAUUUAUAUUUUUGUUCAUGUUUACUUUUUUUUUACCAAUAUUAACGAUGGCUUCUCAAAUCCUUAUUACGGAAACACUAAGACUAUCUCCAAAGAGGGAUCCUUAAGUCAAAAUUAGAAUUUAUGUUGAUUUAAAAUAAAUGUAAAUGUAAUUAAAUGAUAAAGAGCGCUCCUUAUUAAAAGACUUUAAAAAGCGGUUGCUAAAGGACGUGGCAAAAUAAUAUUGGUUGUGGCAAACAUACAUUUUUUNNNNNNNNNNNNNNNNNNNNNNNNNNNNNNNNNNNNNNNNNNNNNNNNNNNNNNNNNNNNNNNNNNNNNNNNNNNNNNNNNNNNNNNNNNNNNNNNNNNNGUCUCUCUCUUCUCUCGCAUUCCUCUCUUUUUCUUUCUCUUUCUUUAUUUUUCUCUCUCUCUUUUAUUUAAUUGUAAUUUAUAAUAAAAUAUUAUUAUACACAUUUUUUAAGGGUUCAAGGUUGGAGAUGCCCUAAUAAAUUAAUAUUGCCUAAAUCCACAUUUUAUAAUAUAAAAGUUUAGGUUUUGUUGACAAUUAUGAAGCCUUUUUGUUUUCCAUAAUAAGAACAAUUAAUAAUAACUGUGGGCUUUUGGCCCAUUACUGAAUUUUAGUGGAUGAUGUUUACCCAAUUUAUUUAUUUUUUUCAAUCAAAAUUGUCUUGCAGUCAGAUUUUGUCGUUAUUGAAAUCGAAAUUUAGGAAAAUCUUGGUUCGUAAUUCUAGGAGAUACGAAAAAGUUGUUAUAUUAUUCACUUAGUUACUAUAUCAUACUCAAUGCUGUUGAAAUUACGCUUUAAUGCGUAAUAAUUAUUGAAGGAAAGAUAUUAUGAAUAUUCGUAUAGUUGUUAGGUAAAGUUCUUGGAAUAUUCUGUUUUUUGGUAUAUUGAAAACGCACGAGACAGAGAAGUCGCUAGUAUAACUAUCUAAGGCCAAGAAGAAGGCCCAAAACAUUAUUAGCUUUUAAUGUCCGAUUAAUAUAGCAAUAACUUCCGUUCAAAUUUUAUUGAGAAGAUCCGAUUUGGAAGUCGGAUUUUUUUUUUAAAACCGACCCGAGAGAGUAUUUGUACUUCUCUUUUACUAUAGUAGGGAUUUUCUGUUAAAAUUAUUUAUUUUGCUGUCAUUAAUUCUGUUUGGUUAUAGGUUUAGGAUUACAUAAAAUGUUAUUUUUAUUUUUAAUUGUGUUUGGCUUUCAAGAUAAAUAAUGCUUUCCUUUUAAUAGUAUAGAUAGCUCAUGUAAACAGCAAAAUUGUUGAUGAUUGAACAACAUAGAAUCACCUGGCAAUUUCUCAGGAUGGGUAUAACAGAUGCCGUUUUCACCAUCGAUAGUACGGAUGAACUCAUCGAUGAGAGGAUGAAGCUUUCUUGCGUCGUCUUUUACCUUCCCCUCAAGAUGUUCCAGUACCUCUUGAUCCGUCGGAUCAAAUUUCACUCCGGCGGGCAGUCCCGGCAAGUCAUGGAUCCCGGCCUACAUAAAUUGGGUUUUUGAUUACUCAUGAUCAACUAAUAGAUAUCAAUGAUCAAACAGUUUCCAAAUGUAGAAACUAGAUGUAGCUAGCUAGGUAUUGAGAGAAACAAGAACCUGUUCAUGAAACUUGAAGUUAUGGCCACAAGAAGGACAAGUUUUGUGGCUUGAGACCGGUAAUGAGGCUCUGGGAGACUCAGCCGCAGUCGGGGAGGGAAUGAUUCUUUCAACGGUCUGAACAUCGUUACGGUCAUUGCACCAAGUCAUGUUGUUUUAGGUAUCCAAGGUUCCUCUUGUGCAUAUCUCUCUUUCUCCUCUUCUUUCACUGCUCACAACUUCGUCAAAAUAAACAAAGGCAUGAGAGAGGAAGAGAGGAAGAGAGGAGGGAAAAAGAGUUAAAGUUAGCUAAAGCAUAUGUAUCCUAAGAAGAACUCUUUGAGGUUAUCUUGAGAAGGAGGAAGGAAUUGAAUUCUUGUUCAUCACUUUUUAAGUUGAGUUAAUUGGCCUUUUUUGCACUUGAUUUUAACUUUGUACUAUCCAUGAAAGAGAGAGAGAGAGAGAGAGAGAGAGAGAGAGAGAGAGAGAGAGAGAGAGAGAGAGAGAGAGAUGAGGUAAGCCUAAAAAAUUUAUUAUUUAAACCUCAUUUUAUAUUGUGUACAAAUGUACCAUUACUCUACAUAGUAAGAAAUUAUUAUUUAGAGCUAGACUUAAUUAGUUUUGUUUAAUAAGUAUAUUUGUAGAAACAUACAUGCUAAGUAACAAUGAGAGGAAGAGGUACACCUACAACUCAACUUGAAAGUGAAGUGUAAUAUAUAAUUGUGAAAUUUCAAUCUUUUGAUUUACAUGUAACAUUGAUCUUUUGCCAAAAAAAAACAUGUAACAUUGAUAAAUUAUAUAUUGGAAAUUUUCUUCUUCUUGUUUUUUUUACAAGUUUACAAUGCAUAGUUGUAUCUUCUAUAGUUAAAAGCAUUAAAUUAAAAACUUCAGAUUCUUUCUGAAACUGCAAUGUGAUAUUCUGAAUAAACUAAUGGAUGAUUAGAAUUAAGAAAAAAAUAAAUAAAGGAGAUUGCUUGGGUUUUAAGUUUGGUUUGG